UCGGGAAUUUUGGGCAAUGGGGGAAACCCUGACCCAGCAACGCCGCGUGAAGGAUGAAGUAUUUCGGUAUGUAAACUUCGAAAGAAUAGGAAGAAUUAAUGACGGUACUAUUUAUAAGGUCCGGCUAACUACGUGCCAGCAGCCGCGGUAAUACGUAGGGACCAAGCGUUGUUCGGAUUUACUGGGCGUAAAGGGCGCGUAGGCGGCGCGGUAAGUCACUUGUGAAAUCUCUGAGCUUAACUCAGAACGGCCAAGUGAUACUGCAGUGCUAGAGUGUGGAAGGGGCAAUCGGAAUUCUUGGUGUAGCGGUGAAAUGCGUAGAUAUCAAGAGAAACACCUGAGGUGAAGACGGGUUGCUGGGCCAACACUGACGCUGAGGCGCGAAAGCCAGGGGAGCAAACGGG
rnacentral:rRNA from 1 species